rnacentral:rRNA from 1 species
UACGAAGGGGGCUAGCGUUGCUCGGAAUCACUGGGCGUAAAGCGCACGUAGGCGGCUUUUUAAGUCAGGGGUGAAAUCCUGGAGCUCAACUCCAGAACUGCCUUUGAUACUGAAAAGCUUGAGUCCGGGAGAGGUGAGUGGAACUGCGAGUGUAGAGGUGAAAUUCGUAGAUAUUCGCAAGAACACCAGUGGCGAAAGCGGCUUCCUGGACCAGAACUGACGAUCAGGCACGAAAGCGUGGGGAGCAAACAGG